AGAGUUUGAUCCUGGCUCAGGAUGAACGUGGGCGGCGUGCCUAAUACAUGCAAGUCGAACGAAGAGUGUAGUAAUACUGUCUUAGUGGCGAACGGGUGAGUAACGCGUGGGUGACCUGCCCCGAAAUGUGGGAUAACAGUCCGAAAGGAUUGCUAAUACUGCAUAAUAUCCAAGAGAUUAGAUGCUUUUGGAUUAAAGGAGUAAUUCGCUUCGGGAGGAGCCCGCGUCCCAUCAGCUAGUUGGUAAGGUAAUGGCUUACCAAGGCGAUGACGGGUAGGGGACCUGAGAGGGUGGCCCCCCACAAUGGAACUGAAACACGGUCCAUACACCUACGGGUGGCAGCAGUAGGGAAUAUUAGUAAUGGGCGAAAGCCUGAACUAGCAACGCCGCGUGUGCGAAGAAGGCCUUCGGGUCGUAAAGCACUUUUUGAGAGGAUGAGGAAGGACGGUACUCUCAGAAUAAGUCUCGGCUAACUACGUGCCAGCAGCCGCGGUAACACGUAGGAGGCAAACGUUAUCCGGAUUUACUGGGCGUAAAGCGCGUGUAGGUGGUUUGGUAAGUAGGGCGUGAAAGCUCCUGGCUCAACUGGGAGAGGACGUUCUAAACUGCCAAGCUUGAGGAUGGUAGAGGGAGGUGGAAUUCCGGGUGUAGCGGUGGAAUGCGCAGAUAUCCGGAGGAACACCAGUGGCGAAGGCGGCCUCCUGGACCACUCCUGACACUCAGACGCGAAAGCUAGGGUAGCAAACGGGAUUAGAGACCCCGGUAGUCCUAGCCCUAAACGAUGUAGACUUGGCGUCGGUGGUUUAAUCGCCAUCGGUGUCGUAGCUAACGCGAUAAGUCUACCGCCUGGGGACUACGGCCGCAAGGUUAAAACUCAAAGGAAUUGACGG
rnacentral:rRNA from 1 species